rnacentral:lncRNA from 1 species
CAGCAGAGUAAAGAUUCUGGAAUUCUGCAGGAAGGGUUAAGCUGUUACUAAGGGACAGUUAGGUGUCUCUCUCUGGAUUUUCCUGGGGAGACUGGCUUCCUAUCCUGUAGUUGCAAAUCUACCCUGAUUUCCCUUCCUACUUGUAGACUUGUUUUUAUCUGUUGUGUUUCCUGGUUAUCCUGGCUGUAAGACCAGGUUUGAGGUCUUUCGGAUCCAGGAUCUAUCCUUGGGCCCUGCCUAACUGCCAUUGAACACUACCUCUAAUACCACCUAAGUUAAUUUCAGAAUUCCUGAAUAAUGAGUAAACACCAUUAGACUGCAAAAUAUGGAAGGUAGCAUUACACUGCUGACAAAAUACUGCUGGCCUUUAAUGUUUCAGAAGGAGGUUCCACCGAGAUCCGAAGUCCCAGCUACCUGAGCCCUCCUGCUAACAAGGACCAGGAGACUUGAGGUACCUCACACAACCCAUUUGGGGUUGGGUCAGGAGUUUGGCUAGCAAGGGCCAGGUAAGUGGCUUUCGGAAGUAGGACUCAUCUCGUGUUUGGGGGUGACUCGCUCUUUAAUUAAGGGAUUGUUGGUUGGGCCUCUGUG